ACGGUACCCUCAAAGGAAGCACCGGCUAACUCCGUGCCAGCAGCCGCGGUAAUACGGAGGGUGCGAGCGUUGUUCGGAAUUAUUGGGCGUAAAGCGCGUGUAGGCGGUCUGAUAAGUCUGAUGUGAAAGCCCCGGGCUCAACCUGGGAAGUGCAUUGGAAACUGUCAGACUUGAAUACGGGAGAGGGCAGUGGAAUUCCUAGUGUAGGAGUGAAAUCCGUAGAUAUUAGGAGGAACACCGGUGGCGAAGGCGGCUGCCUGGACCGAUAUUGACGCUGAGACGCGAAAGCGUGGGGAGCAAACAGGAUUAGAUACCCUGGUAGUCCACGCCGUAAACGAUGAGUACUAGGUGUUGCGGGUAUUGACCCCUGCAGUGCCGCAGCUAACGCAUUAAGUACUCCGCCUGGGAAGUACGGUCGCAAGACUAAAACUCAAAGGAAUUGACGGGGGCCCGCACAAGCGGUGGAGCAUGUGGUUUAAUUCGACGCAACGCGAAGAACCUUACCUGGGCUUGACAUCUGCGGAACCUGGUGGAAACACCGGGGUGCCUU
rnacentral:rRNA from 1 species